rnacentral:rRNA from 1 species
UACGUAGGGCGCAAGCGUUAUCCGGAAUUAUUGGGCGUAAAGAGCUCGUAGGCGGUUUGUCGCGUCUGCCGUGAAAGUCCGGGGCUCAACUCCGGAUCUGCGGUGGGUACGGGCAGACUAGAGUGAUGUAGGGGAGACUGGAAUUCCUGGUGUAGCGGUGAAAUGCGCAGAUAUCAGGAGGAACACCGAUGGCGAAGGCAGGUCUCUGGGCCAACACUGACGCUGAGGCGCGAAAGCUAGGGGAGCAAACGGG